rnacentral:rRNA from 1 species
CACGUAGGGCGCGAGCGUUGUCCGGAAUUAUUGGGCGUAAAGAGCUCGUAGGCGGCCUGUUGCGUCCGCUGUGAAAGCCCGGGGCUUAACCCCGGGUCGGCAGUGGAUACGGGCAGGCUAGAGGUAGGUAGGGGAGAAUGGAAUUCCCGGUGUAGCGGUGAAAUGCGCAGAUAUCGGGAGGAACACCGGUGGCGAAGGCGGUUCUCUGGGCCGUAACUGACGCUGAGGAGCGAAAGCGUGGGGAGCGAACAGG